rnacentral:rRNA from 1 species
CCUUUCGAAAGAAAGAUUAAUACCCGAUGGCAUAGUUCUUCCGCAUGGUAGAACUAUUAAAGAAUUUCGGUCAUCGAUGGGGAUGCGUUCCAUUAGGUUGUUGGCGGGGUAACGGCCCACCAAGCCUUCGAUGGAUAGGGGUUCUGAGAGGAAGGUCCCCCACAUUGGAACUGAGACACGGUCCAAACUCCUACGGGAGGCAGCAGUGAGGAAUAUUGGUCAAUGGACGAGAGUCUGAACCAGCCAAGUAGCGUGAAGGAUGACUGCCCUAUGGGUUGUAAACUUCUUUUAUACGGGAAUAAAGUGAGGCACGUGUGCCUUUUUGUAUGUACCG